rnacentral:rRNA from 1 species
GCAGUCGAACGGUAACAGGAUUUGCUUGCAUCAUUCGCUGACGAGUGGCGGACGGGUGAGUAAUGCUUGGGAACUUGCCUUUGCGAGGGGGAUAACAGUUGGAAACGACUGCUAAUACCGCAUAAUGUCUACGGACCAAACGGGGCUUAGGCUCCGGCGCAAAGAGAGGCCCAAGUGAGAUUAGCUAGUUGGUAAGGUAAAGGCUUACCAAGGCAACGAUCUCUAGCUGUUCUGAGAGGAAGAUCAGCCACACUGGAACUGAGACACGGUCCAGACUCCUACGGGAGGCAGCAGUGGGGAAUAUUGCACAAUGGGGGAAACCCUGAUGCAGCCAUGCCGCGUGUGUGAAGAAGGCCUUCGGGUUGUAAAGCACUUUCAGUUGUGAGGAAAAGUUAGUAGUUAAUACCUGCUAGCCGUGACGUUAACAACAGAAGAAGCACCGGCUAACUCCGUGCCAGCAGCCGCGGUAAUACGGAGGGUGCGAGCGUUAAUCGGAAUUACUGGGCGUAAAGCGCACGCAGGCGGUUUGUUAAGCUAGAUGUGAAAGCCCCGGGCUCAACCUGGGAUGGUCAUUUAGAACUGGCAGACUAGAGUCUUGGAGAGGGGAGUGGAAUUCCAGGUGUAGCGGUGAAAUGCGUAGAUAUCUGGAGGAACAUCAGUGGCGAAGGCGACUCCCUGGCCAAAGACUGACGCUCAUGUGCGAAAGUGUGGGUAGCGAACAGGAUUAGAUACCCUGGUAGUCCACACCGUAAACGCUGUCUACUAGCUGUUUGUGACUUUAAGUCGUGAGUAGCGAAGCUAACGCGAUAAGUAGACCGCCUGGGGAGUACGGCCGCAAGGUUAAAACUCAAAUGAAUUGACGGGGGCCCGCACAAGCGGUGGAGCAUGUGGUUUAAUUCGAUGCAACGCGAAGAACCUUACCUACACUUGACUUGCAGAGAACUUUCCAAAGAUGGAUUGGUGCCUUCGGGAACUC